rnacentral:misc_RNA from 1 species
UAAGUCUAGUGAUGGCUAAAUCUAAUGCCCACAUGUUGCAGAGAAUAACGGCUUAAAACCUUAUAUUUACUAAUAACAUGUGAUUCAUUCGUAUUUUUAUAUAAUAGAAUAACCGUGAGAUCACCCUUCAAUAAUUCGUUUCAACUCAGUUAUAACCGAUAAACUAAGUGGCACUUUAGCAUUAGCCUAGGCUAGGACUUUCAUUUGUUACAACUUUAAUUUCUUUGCAACACUUUAUUAAUCUCGCGUAACUUGUUAUAAACAUAGUGAAUAUACUUAGUUAGGUAUUUAUUUG